UACAGAGGAUGCAAGCGUUAUCCGGAAUGAUUGGGCGUAAAGCGUCUGUAGGUGGCUUUUUAAGUCCGCCGUCAAAUCCCAGGGCUCAACUCUGGACAGGCGGUGGAAACUACCAAGCUUGAGUACGGUAGGGGCAGAGGGAAUUCCCGGUGUAGCGGUGAAAUGCGCAGAUAUCGGGAGGAACACCGGUGGCGAAGGCGGUUCUCUGGGCCUGUACUGACGCUGAGGAGCGAAAGCGUGGGGAGCGAACAGG
rnacentral:rRNA from 1 species